CUCCCUGUCCUGACAGUCUCUGGACUUUCUGGCAAAGUGCCGAGGAGAAGUCUGAGGCUGAGGAUGGAUUCGCAGAGGAGGCAUCCCCUCUCUCAUCCUUCCCGCAUCACUGUUUUAAGGUGAUUCAACAAAUAUUUGCCAGGCACUGUUCCAGGUGUUCGGGGAUGAGGGCUGAAAUAGGACAGGGCUCCUGCACACCUGAGGCCUCAUCGAAUUAAACUGGCACUUUGUGGCUAAUCCCCGGUUCUCAGGUGAGAAACACUCAAUCAUCCCGACAAAGGGGGUGCAGCGGUGAGAAUCUGGCAUUUUCAAGUCAGACGACUUCUGGGCUCACAUCCCGGUGACUGGCACUCAGCAACCUUUUAAGGUAGUCCAGACAGUUACCAUGAAGUGCCAUCUACAGCUGGGGGAAACUGAGACACAGAGACAUAUGCUCUACACAAGAACAACUGCGUGGAAGGGAGCUGAUAAGGGAGUGAUGGUCCCUGACUAAAGCUACUAGCCACACGCGGUAAUUUGAAUUCAAAUUCGUAAAAUGAAAUGAAAUUAAACAUCCCUCAGUUGCACAUUUUGAACAGCUGGAGCGCUAGGGAGCUACUGGAUUUGACAGCACCGAUAUGAGACAUUUCCAUAAACGCAGAAAGUUCCAUUGGUCAGGGCUGGGCAAGGGGCUGACCUCGGCUCCCUGAAUAACCUCGCAGGCCCCUUUUGGAAACGGGGCCUGUCGCGGGCAGGGGUGGGAUGUUGGGGGAUAGGUCAUCGCGGCCGGGAGGGGUCAGGCUCUGUGCGGAGGCGCCACCUCCCCGGUCACGGUCACC